CUGCUUCAGCAGCACAUAUAGUAAAAUUAGAAUGAUGCCAAGAAUAUUAGCAUGGCCCCUGUGCAAGGAUUUUUUUGUUUUGUUUUUUGAGGUGUAGUUUCGCUCU
rnacentral:snRNA from 1 species